UCCUGCCAGUGCAACUCAACACUGCCAAGGUCAUGAACAACCAGGAAGGGCUGAGGAAGUGUCACAGACCGAAGGAGACCAGGGAGACACGGCAACUAAAUGCAAUAUGGUAGCCUGGACUGCAUCCCGGAAAAGAAAGAGGACAUUAGCGGGAAAACCGGUGAAAUCCCCAGUCUGGGAUUGAGUUGACAGUAAGGUUAGAAGCAACAAAACCGGACUACAGUCGCGGUCCUUUCUGAGGCCUAGAUGUUCAGCUUUUCUUCGGUUAAAUGAGAUGCUACAGGUCUUCGUGACAUCAGAAAACCACAUUUCCGAGUCCCCUGGCCUCUGGCUCCUGCGUGGGUUUGACCGAUUGGAGGCACUGGUGGAGGAGGCGAUCACAGCAGUGAAGACAGAAGCCUGGCUAUAUGGUUGCCUUGGAGAUCCCAGAGUUUCCCACCCAGCCCACGCCUGACCUCUCAUCUCCCCCACGACGCUCAGAUGGCCCCGGGAAAUCCUGGAGAGGACCUGCCAAGAGCCGUGGCCAAGAGGUGGCGAAGGAGUCCAGCAGACUCAUUUCCUGCUCGCCGUGUUGGGAAGUUGGCACCGGCUUCACAGUUGAGAUCUUCUUGUUGAAAUCUCAUUAGAUUCUUCUGUGUUAUCCUUGAACGGAAUCCUGGACAUUAACACUGAAUAAGGUCUGGCAGUGGGAAUCAGGCACAACCAUCUAUUGAGGAAGAUUUCUUUUAAACAAUUUUCGAGGUCAGCACCCUCAAACACAACAUUCUGUGGUGAUGGAAAGAAAACUUGUGCGACC